AAAAUGAAGGCAAGAAGGUGUUUUCCAGAGGACAAAACAGGUCUUGUGUGUAACCCAGGAUGGCUCUGAAUUCUCCAUUCUCCUACUUCAGCUUCCUACAAAAUAUUUUUAAAUUCAGGACUGCAAUCUAUUAUGAAAGAUAUCCUAUCGGAGACUGGUAUAAAAGUUUAAGAAGGAAUGAGCAGAAUAUCAAAGCCCUGGGCCUGAAGAAAGAAGAGAGCAGGGAUAAAAGUGAUGUCAUACUUUUAUAAAGAGCGUUAACCAUGAAGUCAACUGCAAAAUUUGCACUGUGAACAGAAAACCCACCUCUCUGCUUGAAGGGUGGUUCUUACUACAAUUAAAGUUUCCAGGACAUCUUUGGGGGCUGUCUUGGGCACUCCAGGCCCGCCUGUUGAGCCACUGCCCCUGGCACAGAAAGGGCACAGGUGCCAGAGAACCCAGGCACACAAACGUGAAGAGCCAGCUGGCCACUGGCUUUUUUUUCCCAUGGGACAUGCCCACAAGGGGCUGGUUAGUGACUUCAUCCUUCACCCUAACCGCAGAAGACUGUAAUGGGCAGAUCGGAGUGGCAGCGAGAGCGCCAACACACCGCUGCAAGCUCCGUGGACCCUAGAGCUUACAAAUGAAAGCUCUUUCCGCUUUAAGAACACAGGCCCCAGAAUAAACAAUGUGGAAGGAGACA
rnacentral:lncRNA from 1 species